CAUUGCCCGUUACACUAUGGGAGUUGGCCAUGCCCGAAGUACAUACCUUAAACAAAAGGAGGGGGAUAUCAAAUGUAGGGCUAGUAACUGGAGUGAAAUCGUAAAAAGGUAGACGUACUUGAAGGUGCGACUG
rnacentral:ncRNA from 1 species